rnacentral:rRNA from 1 species
AGUGAACGUUGGCGGCGUGGAUUAGGCAUGCAAGUCGAGCGAGAACCGUAGCAAUACGGGGACAGCGGCGAAAGGGACAGUAAUGUGUAGGUACCUACCUCCGGGUUCGGGAUAGCUGCGGGAAGCUGCAGGUAAUACCGAAUAACGUCUCCGGACCAGAGGUGUGAUUCCAACUGGAGAGGGGCCUGCAUCCUAUUAGCUUGUUGGCGGGGUAACGGCCCACCAAGGCGACGAUGGGUAGCGGGUGUGAGAGCACGACCCGCGUCAUUGGGACUGAGACACUGCCCAGACACCUACGGGUGGCUGCAGUCGAGGAUCUUCGGCAAUGGGCGCAAGCCUGACCGAGCGACGCCGCGUGCGGGAUGAAGGCCUUCGGGUUGUAAACCGCUGUCGUAGAGGAGGAAGUGCAGGGGGGUUCUCCCCUCUGUUUGACCUAUUCUAGGAGGAAGGACGGGCUAAGUUCGUGCCAGCCGCCGCUGUAA